AUAAGGUCUUUAUGGCGAUCACGGAAGCGCAUUCUCGGCGCCUGGCAGCAAUCGCUGGCGGCAGUGAGAAGCUGGAUUGAAAGACAUCUCCAAGUGAUUUUCCCGCGCUAGGGUGGGGGGAAAAUUAUUUCUAGGGUUUAUGAUCGCGGACGAUCCACGAGUGGAUUGGAGAAGCGCAUUGACGGAUUGGAUUGGAGGUAUGCCGCGCUGCUCGAGAGAUUCAAGCGGCCGAAGAUUGGGGCCGGGAUUCCCGUGAAGCCGCCAUUGGCACCAAAGAAGCCGCUGGAUGAUUGGGACAUUGAGGAGGAUUUCGAGCCGACUAGGAAAUGCAAAUCGCUGCUCAAGAAGAGAUGGGGAUGCUUACCGGACGAAUGCCAUGAUUCUGUAAAGACGCUCCAGAAGAUGGAAUUUUAGUUGGAAAGCAAAGACUCUACGACUACUUGGCUGGUGGAGUAUAUUUUGCACAGUCUGCAACGCGAAGACCCCGCUAUCAACAGGAUUGGAGGAAUUAGAGACAAGGAGGAGCUCUGGUGGCUUAUAGAGAAUCUCAAGGGAAGGAUUUCCAUGAGAGACAAGCUUCCAAUGAAGGAUCCGCUGUGGGAGCAUCAAUCAACGAAAUGUAUCCGUGCCGAGAACCGCUUGAGACGUUUCUUACAAGAUCUAGCCCGGAGAGAUUACAGUGGUAAAGCUUGGAGGAGGCAAACACCGGUGUAUGCAUUUGUUCUCAACUGGAAGUAGCACGAUGAAGGUCAGAUCAUUCCGAGAAUACAGUGUCACAUUCCAACAGCUUUUAAAAUGGUCGUCCAAAACUCGCUGGAUUCCAUCGUU